UUUAAAUGUUUUGUCUGUGAAAUGCUAGCAAAUUGGAAAACACCACACUGGUCAGGAAAGCACGUGGAGCCCCGGAUGCUGUGGUUUUCACCCGCCUGAUGCGCUGAUGCGCUCUGGAGCUGUGGUGACCCCGGAGCAGUGCCUGCAGUGAAGGACGGCAAAGCAGCCCAUCUAUCACCUCUGAGAAGGGAAGAUGCAGCACAACAUCACAGCUUUCCUUAACUUGGGAACAAGACAGCACUACA